AUUGAACGCUGGCGGAAUGCUUUACACAUGCAAGUCGAACGGCAGCACGGACUUCGGUCUGGUGGCGAGUGGCGAACGGGUGAGUAAUGUAUCGGAACGUGCCCAGUCGUGGGGGAUAACGUAGUGAAAAUUACGCUAAUACCGCAUACGAUCUAUGGAUGAAAGCGGGGGAUCGCAAGACCUCGCGCGGUUGGAGCGGCCGAUAUCAGAUUAGGUAGUUGGUGGGGUAAAGGCCCACCAAGCCUACGAUCUGUAGCUGGUCUGAGAGGACGACCAGCCACACUGGAACUGAGACACUGUCCAGACUCCUACGGGAGGCAGCAGUGGGGAAUUUUGGACAAUGGGCGAAAGCCUGAUCCAGCCAUUCCGCGUGCAGGAUGAAGGCCCUCGGGUUGUAAACUGCUUUUGUACAGAACGAAAAGGUUUCUACUAAUACUAGGAGCUCAUGACGGUACUGUAAGAAUAAGCACCGGCUAACUACGUGCCAGCCGCCGCGGUAA
rnacentral:rRNA from 1 species